GUUGAACGCUGGCGGCGUGCCUAAUACAUGCAAGUCGAGCGAACGGACGAGAAGCUUGCUUCCCUGAUGUUAGCGGCGGACGGGUGAGUAACACGUGGAUAACCUACCUAUAAGACUGGGAUAACUUCGGGAAACUGGAGCUAAUACCGGAUGAUAUUUUGAACCGCAUGGUUCAAAAGUGAAAGACGGUCUUGCUGUCACGUAUAGAUGGAUCCGCGCUGCAUUAGCUAGUUGGUAAGGUAACGGCUUACCAAGGCUACGAUGCAUAGCCGACCUGAGAGGGUGACCGGCCACACUGGAACUGAGACACGGCCCAGACUCCUACGGGAGGCAGCAGUAGGGAAUCUUCGACAAUGGGCGAAAGCCUGACGGAGCAACGCCGCGUGAGUGAUGAAGGUCUUCGGAUCGUAAAACUCUGUUAUUAGGGAAGAACAUAUCUGUAAGUAACUGUGCACAUCUUGACGGUACCUAAUCAGAAAGCAACGGCUAACUACGUG
rnacentral:rRNA from 1 species